UUUGGUGUUGUGCUGUGCAA
rnacentral:miRNA from 1 species